rnacentral:rRNA from 1 species
AGUCGGCAGCAGAUGAACUUAAAUUUGAUUGUCGAUAUCUUCUGCCCGGUGUUUAUAUAAACGGCCGCAGUACCUUGACUGUGCUAAGGUAGCAUAAUCAAUUGGCUAUUAAUUGUAGUCUAGUAUGAAUGAAGUAAUGAAUAGUAACUAUAAUAAAAAAUAUUAUUUUAAUUUAAUGAACUGGUGAAAAUACCAGUAUAUAGAAAAAAGACGAGAAGACCCUUAGAGUUUUUGAAAUAAAGAUUGUUUAAGACUUUAAUAUAUACUACUCUUAAAGUAAUUAUACAAUACACUUUUUUGUUGGGGCGACAAGAAAGCAAUAUAACCUUUCUAUUGACACUAAAAGUGGUAUUAGAUUUGACGAUAUUAUUAUGAAUGACUAAACUACCUGAGGGAUAACAGCAUAAUGAUAAAUAUUAGUUUGUGACCUCGAUGUUGGACUAGGGACUUGUACACUAACCGUGAUAAAAGCUUGUUCUGUUCGAACAAUAAACCCC